rnacentral:RNase_P_RNA from 1 species
UGAGUAAGCCAGACAGUCGCGUGGAUACUUGAUAUCCAUGAGGAAAGUCCGAGCUCCACAGGGCAAGGGUGCCAGAUAACGUCUGGCGAAGGUGACUUUAGGGAAAGUGCAACAGAAACAUACCGCCCACCGGCCGUAAGGCCGAGGUAAGGUUGAAAUGGUGAGGUAAGAGCUCACCGGCGUUAUGGUAACAUAACGGCCGUGUAAACCCCACCCGGAGCAAGACCAAGCAGGGAGGUAAUUACCCGUAAGGGUACAAUGCCUGAAAGGCGGCUGCCCGUCGCUUCCCGGAAGGUAGGUCGCAUGAGCGUGCUGGCGACAGUACGUCGAGAUAGAUGAUUGUCUAAUACAGAACUCGGCUUAUAGGCUUGCUCACAUC